AACACAUUCCGAUAGUGAAAGUUUUGUUGAACUUUCCACGUCAGCAAAGGUAAAUUAGAUUUGGAUAGUUUACGAUAUUUUUUUUUCAACUGAAAAUGCCAGUGCUGUCUAUUUAUUUGGAGUUUCAUUCAAUACUUCAAAGGCCUUGAGGUAGGCCGAUAAGCUCCUUCAACGUCGUAAUUAUGGUCGAGACUUGUGUGCAGCGUGUCGUGCCCCCACAGACAGCAACAUACCACGCGCAGGAAGGGAAAAAUAUCGAAAACGCGCAUUACCUCGGGUUCUUUUGAGCGAGAAGAUAAGGGAAGACCAAUGAUUGGAUGGACUGUAAUAACUGAAGAUAAUGCCAGAGGGGCCUUUAACUGACUACAAGAGGAGGCCUUCAAUCUUUGGCCCCAAAUGUCCGGUGGGGAAGACAACCAUUGUCACAAAAUGUACCAAAGGACAUGACCUUACAAGUGCACUCCAGGGUCUGUGUACGUUUUGUUAUUUUGAUUUCCGAGUGAAAAUGGAGAGUGAAAAACAGAACAUCAACUUAUUUUCUCACAAUGUGAAUUAUUGUGUGGAUUAUAAUUAACUGACAGUGUUGUAAGGGUUGAUACCUUUUUUGUUAGGGCAAAUCAAGUCUGACAUUUUAAUGUAGAAAUGACAAACUUUAGAAGCCUUUUUUAAACCUUGAAUACAUUUAGCAUUUUCUGCUGUGCAGGAAAUUUCCUGCAACAACAGGCUGAUCAAAUUAAGAUCCUACAUCUGUAUACAUUUAUAGAUGUAGGCCAAUUGUCAUAGCAAAAGCCGUGUUCACAAUUGAAGAGAAUAGCAUCCGUCUGCCUUUCAGUCAGCAGGAAAGGAUGUUGAGCUAUAAACCAUAUCAAUAAAAAGGCUUAUUUUAACUUACUGUAUUGGCUACAAUAACAAAAAUCACGAAACAUGCAUGGACCCUCCAGGUAAGCCUCAUGUGUCCCUUCCAUGCCCCACACGCUGAUACAAUGGAGACCACCAAGUUCAACUUCAAGAAUUAAUAGCAAACAAAAAUUCAUGGCAAUAUGCAUUGUGUGAUCAACUAUGGCAAAUGUGUGAGUUACAAAGAAGGUUAUUAUAAAAACUACUGAUACAAACAAAUAGAUUAUCAUUAUAAAACUAUUAAACUGUAUUAGAGUAACAAUGAGGACAGACAUACCAAUACGUGCAAGAAAGUUCACAUUGUUUAUUUUUAUUUAAACUCAGAAUCAGUCAUUCUGAGAAUAAUUUGUUUAACUUAUUUGUAACUUUAAUUGGACAAGUAGGCUAACAUUUUCGUCAUGAAGAAAGUUGUAGUAAGGACCAAGGCUUGCCUGAAUAUCUUGAAGAAAAGCUGUUGGUGUGUGAUCAAAGAGCAAACAGAAAAAAGGAAAACAAAACAUGAACACAAAAUAAUGACAAAAGGUACAUUCAAUUUCAAGGCCUGUGCCUGCUCUUACUAUAAUUUUGAAACACAACAAUGUGAGUCUGUGUAUUGGUUACACAGACUCCCAAUGUUGUGUCCCAAAGCUACUCUCACUACAACUGUGAAGCAGCUGUGGGUUCCCCUGAGUUUAACUGUAAAUGACCCACAGGGCUCCACCAUUGCAGCUAAAGCCAUCAGCACAGCCUUUACAGAAAAGCGUGACUGCAGAAGUAAAGAGGACUCGGAGCACCAGUGAAUUAUGAUUCACACUAAGUCCUCCACUUUAUCCCUUUAUAUUGACAUGUAAAAAAAAAAAAAAAAAAAAAGAGAACACAACU